rnacentral:rRNA from 1 species
GACGAACGCUGGCGGCGUGCUUAACACAUGCAAGUCGAACGGAAAGGCCCUGCUUUUGUGGGGUGCUCGAGUGGCGAACGGGUGAGUAACACGUGAGUAACCUGCCCUUGACUUUGGGAUAACUUCAGGAAACUGGGGCUAAUACCGGAUAGGAGCUCCUGCUGCAUGGUGGGGGUUGGAAAGUUUCGGCGGUUGGGGAUGGACUCGCGGCUUAUGAGCUUGUUGGUGGGGUAGUGGCUUACCAAGGCUUUGACGGGUAGCCGGCCUGAGAGGGUGACCGGCCACAUUGGGACUGAGGUACGGCCCGAAACCCUACCGGAGGCAACAGUGGGGAAUAUUGCACAAUGGGCGGAAGCCUGAUGCAGCAACGCCGCGUUCGGGAUGACGGCCUUCGGGUUGUAAACCGCUUUCGCCUGUGACGAAGCGUGAGUGACGGUAAUGGGUAAAGAAGCACCGGCUAACUACGUG